GAUUAAGUUAUUAAGGGCGCACGGUGGAUGCCUUGGCACUAGAAGCCGAUGAAGGACGUUACUAACGACGAUAUGCUUUGGGUAGCUGUAAGUAAGCGUUGAUCCAGAGAUUUCCGAAUGGGGGAACCCAGCAUGAGUUAUGUCAUGUUAUCGACAUGUGAAUUUAUAGCAUGUCAGAAGGCAGACCCGGAGAACUGAAACAUCUUAGUACCCGGAGGAAGAGAAAGAAAAAUCGAUUCCCUGAGUAGCGGCGAGCGAAACGGGAAGAGCCCAAACCAACAAGCUUGCUUGUUGGGGUUGUAGGACACUCUAUACGGAGUUACAAAAGAACAUGUUAGACGAAUCAUCUGGAAAGAUGAAUCAAAGAAGGUAAUAAUCCUGUAGUCGAAAACAUAUUCUCUCUUGAGUGGAUCCUGAGUACGACGGAGCACGUGAAAUUCCGUCGGAAUCUGGGAGGACCAUCUCCUAAGGCUAAAUACUCUCUAGUGACCGAUAGUGAACCAGUACCGUGAGGGAAAGGUGAAAAGUACCCCGGAAGGGGAGUGAAAGAGAACUUGAAACCGUGUGCUUACAAGUAGUCAGAGCCCGUUAAUGGGUGAUGGCGUGCCUUUUGUAGAAUGAACCGGCGAGUUACGAUCUGAUGCAAGGUUAAGCAGCAAAUGUGGAGCCGCAGCGAAAGCGAGUCUGAAUAGGGCGUUGAGUAUUUGGUCGUAGACCCGAAACCAGGUGAUCUACCCUUGGUCAGGUUGAAGUUCAGGUAACACUGAAUGGAGGACCGAACCGACUUACGUUGAAAAGUGAGCGGAUGAACUGAGGGUAGCGGAGAAAUUCCAAUCGAACUUGGAGAUAGCUGGUUCUCUCCGAAAUAGCUUUAGGGCUAGCCUCAAGUGAUGAUUAUUGGAGGUAGAGCACUGUUUGGACGAGGGGCCCCUCUCGGGUUACCGAAUUCAGACAAACUCCGAAUGCCAAUUAAUUUAACUUGGGAGUCAGAACAUGGGUGAUAAGGUCCGUGUUCGAAAGGGAAACAGCCCAGACCACCAGCUAAGGUCCCAAAAUAUAUGUUAAGUGGAAAAGGAUGUGGCGUUGCCCAGACAACUAGGAUGUUGGCUUAGAAGCAGCCAUCAUUUAAAGAGUGCGUAAUAGCUCACUAGUCGAGUGACACUGCGCCGAAAAUGUACCGGGGCUAAACAUAUUACCGAAGCUGUGGAUUGUCCUUUGGACAAUGGUAGGAGAGCGUUCUAAGGGCGUCGAAGCAUGAUCGCAAGGACAUGUGGAGCGCUUAGAAGUGAGAAUGCCGGUGUGAGUAGCGAAAGACGGGUGAGAAUCCCGUCCACCGAUUGACUAAG
rnacentral:rRNA from 1 species